UGCCUUGAAAUCGGUCACACGCUGCUCCUUU
rnacentral:piRNA from 1 species